GUGUCGUGCAUUUUGAAGAGAAUGACGAAGUGUCCGUCGUGCCUUCUUCAUGGCUAAUCGGAAACCACAAGGUUAUGUGGCCUCCUUACAAGAACACAAAUAAAAUCACAAUUGCUAUUGAAAAGCCAUCACAUCAUUGGAAGGAGCACAGAUCUCGUGUGCUUUGUGAAUGUGACACAUAUGAGGUGGCGAGGAUCAGAGAACAAAAAGCAGCUAUGACGUCAGAUGUUGCUACUGAGGAAGAGGCGUGCGAGCCAAAACGAAAGCGUUGGCGACCCCAACGGUACUCAACCUCUGAAGAGGACGAUGCAUCGAGCGUGGGCGACUGUGCCUUUGAGGACGAAGCAAACACACCUGCUCCAGAUCCACAGCGCACUCCACAUUGUGUUCCCCGCCCACGCCCUCAGUAUAUGUCUGGUCACCAAGAGCAUCGGUCACCUUCCAUUCAGCAAAGUGAAGCAGAACAUAUACCACAAUUGCCUUCCUCUAUUCAUGACAGGAUCCAAGCAGAGGGAGCAGACAAAUCGCAAUCGUGCCGUGCACUACCUUUCAAGAAUAGGGGGUGCUUCCCCGAAAGACUGUUUAAGGCAUGUCAUGCGGCGGUGCAUGAAGGAUGACCUUGCGCAGCACUUCUGCCUCACUGGAAGAAAAGGCAAGCUCCCAUUUCUGGGGCUACGACUCCUGGAAGUGAUCACUGGUAUGUUUGAUUCAUGUGGUAACACUAGACUGCAUGCAAUACA